rnacentral:tRNA from 1 species
AAAGAGGCCCGAGGCAGUAAGGACUGCUAAUCCCUAUUCCCAUGGUUAAACUCCA